rnacentral:rRNA from 1 species
CUAGCCCAAACGAAAUAAGCCCAACUAUAACACAAUAAUGAAACCAAAACAUUUAUUUUCUUAUUAAAGUAUAGGAGAUAGAAAUAUUACUUGGAGCUAUAGAGAAAGUACCGCAAGGGAAUGAUGAAAGACAAUUUAAAGUAUAAAACAGCAAAGAUUAACCCUUUUACCUUUUGCAUAAUGAACUAGCUAGAAUAACUUAACAAAGAGAACUUAAGCUAAGCCCCCCGAAACCAGACGAGCUACCUAUGAACAAUUUAUUAGAAUGAACUCAUCUAUGUAGCAAAAUAGUGAGAAGAUUUAUAGGUAGAGGUGAAAAGCCUAACGAGCCUGGUGAUAGCUGGUUGCCCAUGAUAGAAUUUUAGUUCGACUUUAAAUUUACCAAAAUAAACCUAUAAUUAUUAUGUAAAUUUAAGUUGUAGUCUAAAGAGGUACAGCUCUUUAGACAAAGGAUACAGCCUUAUUUGGAGAGUAAACUAUUAUAUAA